UCUUUGGCUCCUUCGAGGAGGUCUCGCCGCAUCUCACUUCCUGGUCACAAAUCUCGACUUUACUUCUCUAAUAAUCGAUGGACCUUCUUUCUACGUCUCGGCGCUGCUUCCAUCAUCAACUUCACCUCCGUUUGCUCGUAGUCGAUCCAAGAUCUACUCACUUAGACUGGCCGCCUACUCGUGUGUUCUUGCUUGACUAGCCGAUGGCACACCAUGCAUACUUGACCUGAGAUUUAGUCGUGGUCACUCUGGGAGCGAUGGGCUCUUGUACGAAGGGGGCGACAAACUAGUACUCUUGGAAAGGAUUUGGCGAAAUUCCUAUUACCUUACUCCAAACCCGUGAAUUUCAGCUGAUUUUUCCCCUUUCCAGCUUGAUAUUUUAGCGGAUUUGGAUUUAGGUUGCUCUCGGUUCCAUGGACUUCAUUGAUGAUUUAGCAUCUCGGAGUUUGGGUUCUUACCUAUUUCAGUUUCGAAGAUAUUAUUAUAGAUAGCAGGGUUUGUAUUCGACUAUAAUCUGGCUGAACUCACAAGCUCAUAUUUGUAGUGAUGGAGGAUAUAGGGUUGUCUAGACAAGCUUGGAAAUAGCUGCAGUCACAGAAACACAUUUAUUCACGAUCGCAAACUGCAAUCGGUGGGUGUGGAGAUGAAAUCGGGAUGUUUGUAGAGCGGCAUUGGCCGAUGCUGUGCAGUGAGUGCGCCAGGACAGGGAGGCUGUUGAUCCUGUUGUUGAUUUAUUGGCAGGAUUACGUCGUAAGAGGUUUUCGAUCCUUUAUCGGGUUGGGUUCUGCUUCUUUGCUCCUUAUAAUGCGGAGUUGCUUUCUCAGUUUGACUUCAAUUUCUUGCCUGGUUUAUUUACUUCUUAGUAUGGUAUGUUUCCUUGGUAUUUUCUUUGGCUACUCUAGCAUCGUGUAGGAGAGCGAAGGGAAAGAUUUUGUUUGGGAUACUUCUGAAAUACGAAAGAAGCGAAGUCGUAGGUAGGGACGAUGAUUUGUGGCUUCGAGUGGGACAAGAUGGACAUCCGCAUAUCUUGUAGCUUCAUGACAUGUGUAUGGAGCAGCCUCGGGCGGUAUCUAACAAGUAUAAGUUGCAUUGGGAUAUAGUUAGGUAUUCCUACUCACAGGACUCUCUAACAUUGGUAUAAAUGCUGAGCGGUCUGAUUCAAGAACUUGGCAAUGGUCUUCUCCAGAAGCAUUCGGCUGAUUUAAUACGAUCCAUAUACGGUUAUGGCCGCCCGGAAAAUUGAGGUUCAAUGUCAUAUAUACUCGUGUGUACGCAUAAAUAUGGAAAGGAUGUUGAUAUCAUAUCUCCUCAAUUGGCAUGGUUGUGGUGUUCAUAGGAAACAGGAUCUGAGAGAAAUUUGUAGAAACUUUCAUAAGGAAUAUAGUUAAGUGUUUAUGUUUUGAGCAAUUUUGAUUUCAAAUUUCUAUGAGAUUUUAAUUUUUAAGUAGAGUACUUAUUUGGCAUAUUUGUGGUGUUAUAGGAAACAGGAUCUGAGACAAAUUUGAAAAAACUUUGAAGGGAAUAUGGGUUAAGUGUUUAUGUUUUUGCAGUUCUGAUUUCAGAUUUCUUUUAUUAUAAUCUGAAUAUGUAGUUUAACAUUUUUGAGGUCAUUGAUUUUUUGGGUGCUGUACAUUCUUAAUUCUAAGAAGAGGAGUUUUGACUCUAAGUGCAGGUCUCGAAUUGCUCCGCUCUUUGUGUAAGUACAUCUCUGCAUAUCUUUAUUUCCUCAAUUAUAUUUGACUUUGUUAUGUUGAGUUGCCAAAUUAAAGAUAUUGCACUACCUUUUGAUACUACAUUAAAUCGGAACAUGCGAAACAUUAAAUUUUGAGUGUUAAUUAGUGAACAGGGGCUGCAUUUUAAAUUUGUAAACAUCCACAGUAAUGGUUUGGGGCUUGAUAGUUGUACCAAAUCUCUUUUUCUUAUUCCCAUGGGUAGACCUUUUUGUAGCUUUCUAAGUUUGGGUUUUUCUUGAUGUGUACUUACUGUGGUUUGAGAUUACUUUCCUUUACAGGUCUGGGUAUUAUAUAAAGCUUUGCGCUUUCAGAUUAAGGUAAAGUUUGAUUAUACUUAUAGUUAAUUCUGAUGCCCAUCGCAAGGUUUAUAAUUUUUUUCCAUUACACUUAUGUGUUCUAUCAAUUAAACUCCAGACUAACUACUAAUCUCCUAAGUUCUUUAAAUUUGGGUUUGUUAUUUGUUGUAGGAAAUGGCAUAUUUUGAGAUAUUCUGCAUCUUUCUUUCUUUAGUUCUUCACAUUUGAAAGAGUGAGAAUUAUAUUGUUGGGACUUUGGAUUCUAUUUGUAUGUCCUAAUUUGUGUGAGGAUUGCUUGCCAUCCAUAUAAGAAUGUUACUAAAGUUUCAGGCAUAAGUCUUUAUGUUUCAAUCACAAACAAGUGCAUGUAUACGUAGCAGAAUUACACCAAUUAAUCUGUGGGAGGAAGGAUAUACAACAGCUCAUGAGAUAGAGAUAAAGAAUCAUAAUUUGAAAAUUUGGAAGCCACUACAUACUCAUUUCUUGUUGCUCUGUGUAAAUGAUGUUUUAAGAGCGUCUUGGUAGUCUAAAUUUAUAGCUCCAUCCUUUUCAGCGAUAUCCAAUAUGAUAAUGUCUUCUACUGCUUGGUAUAUUUCCUACUCAUGGUCAUUUUUCAGAGGCUAUCAGAGCAGGGGCUGUUAAUACUGGGUUCUAUGCGGAGAUCUCAAAGUUCAUAGAUCUGAGGAAAGAAAGGUAUAUUCAUCUACCUGCACUGAUCUAAAGCUUGAUCUGUGAAUAGUGUAUGUGCUGCAUCUCUGAACAUUUAUGAUAUUUUUUUUCCAAGUGGUCUCUGUAGUUUCUCUGUGUAUUUGCCGACACUUGCUAUCUUUCUUAGAAAUUAAUGUCAUAGCUUUGAGAUUUAUCACUGCUUUUGACCUUAACCUAAAUGAUUGUCCAAACUUUUGUUGUUUUGUACAUCUUUUUUGCUAGUAAUGUUAGUUUACUAAUUAUCUAGGUUCUCAAGGAAAGAAUUACUUGGCUUGAAGCUGCUUGUGGUUGUGGGCUGUUUUAAUUUUGUAGGUGAUUUCGGUUUUUUUUUCCGUUCUCUCUUUUUUUUUUUUUGGUUAAAUAGUUGACAUAUUGGGCACAAUAACAAUAAAUGUGCUAACAUGGGUGGCAGCAGUCAUCUGACAACUUUGUCAGAACUGGGCACAAAUGGACCUUUAUUUGUGCUUACACUUUUCAGCACAGCAUUCAUUAUUGUGCUC